CCCAGUGUGAAGUGAAAGCAAAGUUUUAAAAUUUUUUCUCCUCUGCAAGAAAAUAUAUUUCAGAAAAUCUCUAUCUCAAAAAUGAAGCAAUUAAGAACUGUCUGGCUGUGAGGAUCUGGCCUCAACUUGACUUAAAGCAACAACUUCAGUUACAUAUCAAGAUGUGCGUGAGAAUGAACCUGCUCUGCUCAGCCAACGUGCUGAGUGACUUGAUGUUUGUAAUAAAUAAAUAAAUAAACAACAAACAGGUUGUCAUGAAAUAUCCUUUGUAAUUAUAAACACAGGAAACUUUCUGAGAUGCAAGUGGGUGUUAAAUGGUUCAGCAAAGCCAAGCCAGAGCAGUUGGUGUGCUUUGAAAUGAAGCAACAUUGGAAAAAUGAAAUCUACUGAAAGAUCACUACGUGUUUCAAAGAACUGACUAGAACCAGAACUCUUCAGAAAAGAAUGUGCUAAAGGUUUGUCCUUGAGAAGUUUCCAAGCCAAGACACUCCUAGGAGCACUUCCCAUUGAGGCCGAAAGGCUCAUCCACUUACAGCGAUUCAUGGGAAAAGAGGACAGCACCCUCAUCUUUGGUCCAAGAACACAAUCCUGAGUGACACAGGAUUGCCCUGAAAGUCAACAGCAUCCGUCUUACAAAAAUCAACAACACUCGCUUUUCAAACUUCCAAAGAAUUUACUGGUCUGGUUUGGCCUUUUGGUGCCACAUUCCAUUCCAGAACCCCAGCUAAAAUGUUCUCAAGGGCUGACCAGAGAUUCCUCCUCCUUUCUCUGGGCUGGUAC
ensembl:lncRNA LINC02997 long intergenic non-protein coding RNA 2997